rnacentral:rRNA from 1 species
CUCUACAGUCAUACACCCUGAAUGCACCUGAUCUCCUCUGAUCUCAGAAGCUAAGCAGGGUUGGGCUUGGUUAGUACUUGGACAGGGAGAACUCGUGGCAAUCAUCCUGC